AGUGAGUGUUAUUCAUGGGUGUGCUCACGUUUUCAAGAGAAAGUUUUGGUUGCCUUGGACAUUUAAUACCAUAACAGUUUCAUAGCAGAAGCAUUCAUUACCUGUGAGUCUCUUUAUUAACAGGUUAAUAUAAGGCACCAUACAUCCUCAUUGUGCUUGCCUGGUUUUCCCCUUAAAUAGUUGCACGAAUAUAUACCUAGGGAUUAGUUUUGGGGAAAAAAGGAAUAAUAAUUGGAUUUAUUUUAUAUACUAAUACUUUGUAUAAAUUAUGAAAGUGAUAGUUGAAAAGUAGGGAAGAAUUACGUGAUCAGUUUUUUGUGACAUUGGAUUUAAAACUUGGGACCUCGCAUUAGGUUGUAAUGAGUAAGUUUCCUACCACAGAGCCCCAUAUUCAAUCCUUCAUUCAUCUGGUGCUAAGGGUUACCGGAAGUUAGAUACAAAGUAUUUGUGAGUAUUUAUGCACAUAAUAGUGAUGCACAGUGCUUGGUACAAAGAAGCAUCUGUGAGGACUUUGACUGUGAAGUGUGCUGUAACUGUGCUUCUAUAUAAAUAAAGAGCAGGUAAAGAAAGGCAAGUGAGGUUCCAGGGUGAGGCUUUACUUCACAAGUGGCUCCCUAAAUACUUUGUCCUGAAUAGACUUGUUUUUCAGUUUGUAAGUAGUUAGUGCUUCCUUGAACCUGUAAAAUGAAUUUGCUGUAUAGUUUGUAUAGAAUCGAAUCUAAGAAGCAAAUCAUUUUGCUGAGUUCCGUGCUCAUCAGAGCAGGCUUUCUUCGCAUUACAGAAGUCACAGCUUGUGUGCACUCGAGAGGGUCUGCUUCAUGAAAACCAGAGGAGCGCUAGUUUAGUAAAAUGGGCCAGGACAUUUAGAGGCAAUCAUUUCAUUCAUAAGUUUUGUUUAUACCCAUUAACCAUGUUUAGAAGAUAUUGAAAGGGUCAUUUGGCUUUUUCUUGGACCAGCACUGUCAUCGUGUAUUAAAAUCCACAGGGAAUGCCAAUAAACACCCUCUGUGCUCUUUAGUUUGUUUUAGAAUACGUCUAACUUAAUAUAAAGGAACUAUUUCAUCAGUAUACUCAUCCACUAGUGAAAUAUUUAAAAGGUAAUUGAUUCAAAGGACCUUUAUUUUCUCAAAUGACUUCAGACUUGAUUUCAUAAUAAUUGUUGGUUAUUUUGUGAUCUCAUUAGAUUAAGACAGGUUUUUUUAUACUGGGAAUAGAGGGAUAUGAAGACAGAAGCAGAGCUGGAAAACGGGGUCAAUUGGGGAUUUAUGUUGUACUCUGUCUGUACAGCUGCCCUUUUUUUUAGGAGUGUUUCCUGGAAAAGAGGGGGAGAUGAACCUGGAAGUAAGUAAAGUCAUUCUAGGUGUGUAGCAUCAAGGCAGUUGUUAUCCAAGUACCAGCUAACUUUUCUUUUUAUACAUCCACAAUGCAUGGCCUGCACCAAAUGAGGAACUGAACCAGGGGUAUGUUUUUACCUCUACAGCUGCCUCCUUCCAUCAGAGCACCUUGUUGAACUUAAUGUCUAGUCACAUGUCAUUGGCAUUUUUUCUUCCCAACAUUUAAGUAUAAAGCUGGGAAACGGUGUAUGCAUCUUACUGUACUGUAAAAAUGUGAGUGUUAAGUAUUAACGUACCCAAAGAAGGAAAUACGUGCAUACUUGCUGAUUUUGUAAUGACUGGAUAUGUAUUUGGCAGAACAUUAGCCUAAAAUGCCUUAAUGAUUGGAAAUAAGACAUGGUUCGGAGAUGUUUCACAAAACCAAACACACAUAGUUCAACAGCAGAACUCAUCACUGGUAGAUUUGCAUGGAUACUUUUUUAAAAAGAGGCACUGGACAUUUCUUAACUGGAGAUCACUGACUGCUGACCGUACUGGUGCACACAGUUGUGCAGCUUAGGACAUUAAGUGGUUUGCUGCUUUGAUGGAAAUUAUGGUUCAGUGGGUUGGAUACAAGAGAGAUGAUUGUUCACAGAAUAACCUGUGAACUUUCACCCCUCUGUAUGGAAACUUGUUUCAGGGCCAAAUCCUUGUAGCUGUCUUCUUGCCCCGGUCAGUGCCAGCCGUACUAUUCACAACACUGCUGCUACCGAGGCCUAGGUAUGUAAACAUUUAAGGAGUUUCUUAAAAGCCUUUUAACAUCAAGCCAGGUCUUAGAGGAAUUGAGUUACAUGUGGUAUACUUACAGGGUGUUUCAUGUGCUUAUCUUCCAGCUUAUUUACAUGUAAAUUUAUUUUGUUUCAUAGGGAUUUUCUAAGUAAAAAUAUUGAUACUUGCCUUAUAAUAGAGUGGGGAAGAAACCUGGAUGACAACUGUAUGUUUCUUCAGUGUCCAAACUUUUAAAACAAUGUCUAGGCUUUACUCAUAAAUUAGGUUACCUGAGAUAAUAUAUUGACUGUUUUAACAUUGCCUUCUUUUUAUUUUGCAAGCUAAGAAGAGAUACCAGUGAACCUAAAUAGUGGACGAAAACAGGAGUGCUCCUGUUGUUGUUGUUGUUUUGGAGGGGGGCACCGAGGGGCUACUGUUACAAUUGCCAUUUGACUUUCAAAGUGUUGGUAAUUAUAAUUAGAACAUAUGCUACAGAACAUGUUGAGUAUAGAAGAACUUAAGUUGAAUGCUAUUACAGAUCUAGAAGUAAGAUUUUCUUUUCUUAAGUUACCAUUAAUUCUGUAUUUCAGUUCUAACUGUAAAAUGGGGGCAUUUUACCUUUUUUUUCCUUUGGAUAGGAUCAGUUCUUAAGAGCAGCCCCAGUGACUGGAGGAAUGGGAGCUGUUUUGAUGAGAAAAAUGGGCUGGAGAGAAGGAGAAGGAUUAGGAAAGAACAAAGAAGGAAAUAAGGAACCCAUCCUUGUUGAUUUUAAGACAGACCGAAAAGGUAAGUUCUUCCUGAAGUUAAUACUUUUCAAUUAUAUACUUUAGUCUCAUUACCUCUUUGUCUUUU
rnacentral:lncRNA from 1 species